UUCCUUUCGCUCCUGGUAAUCCUUGGUUUAGUGUAACUUGUGGCACCGCUUACCAUGGCUCUCACUCAGGUUACAUGAAGGAAACAGCCACCCUGCUAGAGUCUGGUGCCCAUCUCAGGAAGCGUGCCAGUUCCCAGGGCCAUGAGGGGUGAGGGAGAACACGAAUGUCUCAGAGAACAAAAGAGCAACAGGAAGAAACUAGCCUCCAAAUGGCAGGGGAGAAGACAUCCAGGUUUAUUUGUCCAACACAAGCAGCUCCAGUGGAAGCUCAAGCCAAAGAAUCAGACUUUAAUUGCAUCUAUACAUAGCCCAUGAAUCAAACUUCAGGAUGGCUCCCCUGAAUACAUAUGCACAAAGGAGAAGCAGGAAGAAUUGGGGAGGAGGCACCCUGGACCUGAAGCUGACUGCCCUCUUGCAGUACACCAUCAAAGGGGAGGAGCUGAUGACAAGAAAUGAAAUUGAAAUGUGACCUGGAUACAGGUGACUGAAGAGUCUUCGUUUAAGGGGACAGAGUACAUUUUUGUGGUACUUGUCCCAGGCCUCCUCUGGACGUCAGCCGUGAUUUUGCUUUAUCUCCAUGAAGGUAUUGGAAGCUCUUAGCCCAGAAGCAUGUUGGCUGCCACUAGCUGAGAAGUAAUUCUCCCUCUCUGAAUGGCUGAAGGGGGAGACUCUAAUGUGGGAAAAAGGGGAAAAUGUUCACUUCUUCAUCUCUGAAAAUAAAAUUUGCUGGUGCUGCUCUGAAUGUACAGAGGAUAAUCUGUCACUGAUUAUAAAAACAAAUCUUCCUUUCUGCAUUUAAAAUAAAAUAUAUGUGUCUGCAAUUUCUUCCAUCUGGUUAUCUGUAAUUUCUAA